rnacentral:rRNA from 1 species
AGAGGCUUCGGCAAUGGGGGAAACCCUGACCGAGCGACGCCGCGUGGAGGAUGAAGGCCUUUGGGUUGUAAACUCCUGUCAUGAGGGAAGAAUCGUCAUCGUUCGAAUAGGGCGGUGACCUGACGGUACCUCAAGAGGAAGCUCCGGCUAACUCCGUGCCAGCAGCCGCGGUAAUACGGGGGGGGCAAGCGUUGUUCGGAAUUACUGGGCGUAAAGGGCUCGUAGGUGGCCAACUAAGUCAGACGUGAAAUCCCCAGGCUUAACCUGGGAACUGCGUCUGAUACUGGCUGGCUUGAAUUCGGGAGAGGGAUGCAGAAUUCCAGGUGUAGCGGUGAAAUGCGUAGAUAUCUGGAGGAAUACCGGUGGCGAAGGCGGCAUCCUGGACCGAGAUUGACACUGAGGAGCGAAAGCUAGGGGAGCAAAC